rnacentral:rRNA from 1 species
CAGGCUUAACACAUGCAAGUCGAGGGGCAGCAUGGUCUUAGCUUGCUAAGGCCGAUGGCGACCGGCGCACGGGUGAGUAACACGUAUCCAACCUGCCGUCUACUCUUGGACAGCCUUCUGAAAGGAAGAUUAAUACAAGAUGGCAUCAUGAGUCCGCAUGUUCACAUGAUUAAAGGUAUUCCGGUAGACGAUGGGGAUGCGUUCCAUUAGAUAGUAGGCGGGGUAACGGCCCACCUAGUCUUCGAUGGAUAGGGGUUCUGAGAGGAAGGUCCCCCACAUUGGAACUGAGACACGGUCCAAACUCCUACGGGAGGCAGCAGUGAGGAAUAUUGGUCAAUGGGCGAGAGCCUGAACCAGCCAAGUAGCGUGAAGGAUGACUGCCCUAUGGGUUGUAAACUUCUUUUAUAAAGGAAUAAAGUCGGGUAUGGAUACCCGUUUGCAUGUACUUUAUGAAUAAGGAUCGGCUAACUCCGUGCCAGCAGCCGCGGUAAUACGGAGGAUCCGAGCGUUAUCCGGAUUUAUUGGGUUUAAAGGGAGCGUAGAUGGAUGUUUAAGUCAGUUGUGAAAGUUUGCGGCUCAACCGUAAAAUUGCAGUUGAUACUGGAUAUCUUGAGUGCAGUUGAGGCAGGCGGAAUUCGUGGUGUAGCGGUGAAAUGCUUAGAUAUCACGAAGAACUCCGAUUGCGAAGGCAGCCUGCUAAGCUGCAACUGACAUUGAGGCUCGAAAGUGUGGGUAUCAAACAGGAUUAGAUACCCUGGUAGUCCACACGGUAAACGAUGAAUACUCGCUGUUUGCGAUAUACGGCAAGCGGCCAAGCGAAAGCGUUAAGUAUUCCACCUGGGGAGUACGCCGGCAACGGUGAAACUCAAAGGAAUUGACGGGGGCCCGCACAAGCGGAGGAACAUGUGGUUUAAUUCGAUGAUACGCGAGGAACCUUACCCGGGCUUAAAUUGCAGAUGAAUUACGGUGAAAGCCGUAAGCCGCAAGGCAUCUGUGAAGGUGCUACAUGGUUGUCGUCAGCUCGUGCCGUGAGGUGUCGGCUUAAGUGCCAUAACGAGCGCAACCCUUGUUGUCAGUUACUAACAGGUUCUGCUGAGGACUCUGACAAGACUGCCAUCGUAAGAUGUGAGGAAGGUGGGGAUGACGUCAAAUCAGCACGGCCCUUACGUCCGGGGCUACACACGUGUUACAAUGGGGGGUACAGAGGGCCGCUACCACGCGAGUGGAUGCCAAUCCCCAAAACCUCUCUCAGUUCGGACUGGAGUCUGCAACCCGACUCCACGAAGCUGGAUUCGCUAGUAAUCGCGCAUCAGCCACGGCGCGGUGAAUACGUUCCCGGGCCUUGUACACACCGCCCGUCAAGCCAUGGGAGCCGGGGGUACCUGAAGUGCGUAACCGCGAGGAGCGCCCUAGGGUAAAACUGGUGACUGGGGCUAAGUCAUAA